UUUUGUAUGAUCGAUGGUCAGGUGUUUUCUGUCGGCGGGCAGGGCACCACUCCCUCGUUCUGCCAAAGGCAGACCGCCAU
rfam:Synechococcus sp. SynAce01, complete genome.